GAUCUAGAGUCAUAGAGCUAGGGUCAUAGAACUAGAGUCAUAGAUCUAGAAUUAUAGAUCUAGAGUCAUAGAUCUACAUCAUAGAUCUAGAGUCAAUGCACAGCUUCAUUUUUUCAUUUCAUAUUACAGCUGGAAGCUAGAGAUCAGGCUGACCUCUGACCUCUGACCUCCAGACGGUUGAAAAGUGGUUCUCCUACCAGCUGGAUGAUUUCCAGGAUUAGAGGAAAUGUUCCCUGAAUCUCUGAUUGUUUUUGAUUUACUGAACGAAUUAUUGUAUUAAAACAUAACAACCUGGUGUAAAGUGUUCAUCUGGACCUGCUGCAGGAGGAUCCAGUUCUGAUCCAUUUCUUCUUCUUUCAUAUUAAUUCCUGCAUGCUAGCGUAGCGCUGAUGUUUGCCUUGUGUGCUAAACAUGCUCCACAAUUAAAACACAGUUGCCUCUUACAGGGACAGAUUACU